UGGCUCAUUAAAUCAGCCACAAUUUAUUAGACCAUACACAGUUACUUGGAUAACUGUGGGAAUUCUAGAGCUAAUACAUGCCGAGAGUCUCUAAUCUUCGGGUUAGAGCGCAAUUAUUAGACCAAAACUAACCAGUUCUUUUAGGACUGAAAAAUUGGUGACUCUAGAUAACUUUCUGCUGAUCGCAUCUGGCCUUUGAGCCGGUGACGUAUCUUUCAAGUGGCUGACCUAUCAACUUUCGAUGGUAGGGUAAAUGCCUACCAUGGUGAUAACGGGUAACAGGGAAUCAGGGUUUGAUUCCGGAGAGGGAGCCUGAGAAAUGGCUACCACAUCCAAGGAUGGCAGCAGGCGCGCAAAUUACCCACUCCCAGUUCGGGGAGGUAGUGACGAAAAAUAACAAUGCGGGACUCUAAGAGGCCCCGUAAUUGGAAUGAGAAC
rnacentral:rRNA from 1 species